rnacentral:sRNA from 1 species
UGAAUAUCUGUACUAGUUCUUUCGGCAUU